GCUAAAUUGGCAGAUAAAGUGCACUGGGUUUAGGUCUCAUUCAUGUAAAAUUUAAUUUACAUUUAGCA
rnacentral:tRNA from 1 species